AGGUGUGAUCAUACCAACACUAAUGCACCGAAUCCCAUCAGAACUAUGCAGUUAAGCGUGUUUGGGCGAGAGUAAUAUUAGGAUGGUUGAUCUCCCGGAAAGUCAUGUUGCACUCCUU
rnacentral:rRNA from 2 species